CUCCUUUCACCCUUUUCAUAUGUUCUUUUGUUUUGCUUUGUUUUGUUCAGGACAGGACUUGCUUGCAAACUUGCCUUAAACGUGUGAUCUUCAGGUCCAAAGUGUUGGCUCUGCAGGUCUUCCUGCCUUCGUAUCCAGUUUGUGCCCUGCAGAACAUAUUCAUCUUAUAUUAACCUACUGGAGGGAUGGAUCCUAACACAGAAGAGGGUGACACUGGGGGAGGACUGGAAUGAGACAGCAUUCUCAGAAUUGCUCCUGGUGGUCACAACAGACGUGUUCAUUUGAAGACCGGUAGAUGAAAAGAACCCAGAAGAAAAUGGUGCCCUUGCAGCAUCUAAAAAACAGCAAGAAGACUCCAAGUUCACAACACUAUAUUGGGAAAUGUAGCAUUAUCCAAAAUUAACUCAUAUGCGCACUGCCUUAGUGUCGCUGUUGUUGUUCCUGCUGCUCAGGAAUGAAACACUCAGACAAAAACAUUUUACUGGAGAAAAAAAAAUGAUUUAUUUUAGUUGACAUUUCAAGUCACAGUUCCUCAUGGUAGGAGAGUCAAGGUGGCAGGAGCUUGAAGCAGCUGGUCACAUGACAUCCAUAUCUGAGAAGUGCUGUCCAGGGAAUAAUAGUUCUGGCCACAAUUAAGCUGAGUGCCCACUGGACAUGGGGAGGGAUGCCUUUAAUCCCAGCACUCUAGAGGCAGAGGCGGCUUGUCUCCAGGUUUGAGGCUAGCUUGGUCUACAGAGUAAGUUCCAGGACAGUCAGGUUACAGGGAAACCCUAUCUUAGAAAGCCAAAAAAAAUAUAAAAGAAAUUAAAAAACUAAGCAGAGUGUUCCCAUUCUAUUUAUUUAAUCAAGAUAAGCUAUGGCAGGACUGUCCAGAGAUUUAUCUACAUGCAAUGCUAGAUUCUGUCAAGUUGAGAGUUCACACUCACCCUCCAGAACACUAACCAAAUAAAAUAAAUGGCAAUGUCCUCUUGAAAAUGAAGUUAUCUCAUCAAUGAAAUCUGAUGAUUUAAAAGUUGUGAAAUACUAAAUGUGGUGAUGUCUUGUUUGUACUCUAAUAAAUAAAGCUUGCUGGAAGAUCAGAGGGUGAAGUAAGCCACUAGUUAAUUAGCCAUAGAAGUCUUGAGAUCUGUAAAUUGAUACAGGAAGUAAGAUGACUGGGCAGAGAGAGGAAUAUAAGGUAGGAGGAGACAGGAGUUUGGCCUCUUUUUUGGUCUGAGGAUUUUGUAGAGGUAAGAACUCUAGUGGCUAGCUGUUCAGCUUCUCCGAUCUUUCAGCCUUCACCCCCUAAUAUCUGACUCUGGGUUUUUUAUUAUUAAGACCAAUUAAAACUCAUGCUACAACUAAAUGUAAUGAGGAUGUAUUUUUAUAUUUAAGAACUUAUCUCUCUUUAUGUGUGAUAACAAUAUGAAAAAAGAAAGAAGCCAGGAAUUAAAAAAAAAAAAGGAGGACAUGGGAGAGAUGUAAGGGAAUUGGGGAAUGAAGAGAGUGUUUUAAUUAAAAAUAUUUUUUUAGGUUGUGAAAUGAAAGCUCACAUUGAAGCUAUUCAAUGAGCCUCUAGUCAUCUUGUCUCAGUCCAGUCACCACAUGGCCAAGGACCAGACCCAUGUGUUUAUAUGCAAUCUUUCCUCCUGGGCCUGCCCCUCUUUCCUUGCUUGUCCCAUUUUCACAAGUGCCUUUGCACAGGGGCUGGUGUGCCUUGCCUUUCCCAUGCCUUUGUGGUUUAAACAGAAAAGUGUAAUGUCCGUUAAGGCAGAGCUUUACUCAUAAAUUAUACCUGCCAGAUGGUGGGUUUCAGUUAACUAAGGACACAAAGCAACUUUUUUUCAGAAAAUAUUGUUUCUUUGUUGCCUGUGCCUUUUACAUAAUUCUAGCCAUCACAAUCAUUAACUUCUUACACCGUAUAAAAUUUUAUGAGCAAAGGAAUUUCAUUACAAUAUAAUGCUGGGUUAACAAUUUCAAAAUAAUAGCUAUGCUGCCUAAAUUAUGUCUGGUCAUUCAAGUAGAAACCAAAUGACACCAGGAUAAUAAACAGGCAGAAACCAGGUUGCUACAGACAGGGAAUGGGGGAUUAAUCUCCCAAUUAGAAGACAAAGAUUUCUGUAUACAUAAUACCAAAAUAACCAAUUUAAUGUGUUGAUUGAGUUUAGUUGUGUUUUAUAAUAUAAAGAAAAUGUAGACUGCCUGGUUCCCCCAUGUUUUUUGUCCUUCAGCCCAUUGUGUGGCAUCAUGCACACAAAAUCCAGCUGCAAUUUGGGUUGGUCUUCCAGGAAGGACUGUCUUAACUGAAAGUAUUUUUCUCAUUAACCAUGCAGUAGUGUCUGCACUAAUGAAUCACCUGACCACUUGGUUGAGUUUAGCAGUAAGGGUCUUUUUUUUAAUGGUCAUAGUUUAUACAGUGUACAUGAUACUCACCUAAAUUAGAAAACUUUGCAAAGAAACAAUGAGUUUUUUAAAAAGUUUUACCAAAUGAGUUUAUAUAUUUUAG
rnacentral:lncRNA from 1 species